rnacentral:rRNA from 1 species
CCUACGGGAGGCAGCAGUCGGGAAUAUUGCGCAAUGGAGGAAACUCUGACGCAGUGACGCCGCGUGCAGGAAGAAGGUUUUCGGAUUGUAAACUGCUUUAGACAGGGAAGAAAAAGACAGUACCUGUAGAAUAAGCUCCGGCUAACUACGUGCCAGCAGCCGCGGUAAUACGUAGGGAGCAAGCGUUAUCCGGAUUUAUUGGGUGUAAAGGGUGCGUAGACGGGAAAAUAAGUUAGUUGUGAAAUCCCCAUGCUUAACAUGGGAACUGCAACUAAAACUGUUUUUCUUGAGUGCUGGAGAGGAAAGUGGAAUUCCUAGUGUAGCGGUGAAAUGCGUAGAUAUUAGGAGGAACACCAGUGGCGAAGGCGACUUUCUGGACAGUAACUGACGUUGAGGCACGAAAGUGUGGGGAGCAAACAGGAUU